GUUUAUGUAGCUUAUUCAAAGCACAGCACUGAAAAUGCUAAGAUAAAAUUUUAACAGUUUUCUUGAACA
rnacentral:tRNA from 1 species